rnacentral:rRNA from 1 species
UACGUAGGGGGCUAGCGUUGUCCGGAAUCAUUGGGCGUAAAGAGCGUGUAGGCGGCCCGGUAAGUCCGCUGUAAAAGUCAAAGGCUCAACCUUUGAAUGUCAGUGGAUACUGCCGGGCUAGAGUCCGGGAAGAGGCGAGUGGAACUCCUGGUGUAGCGGUGGAAUGCGCAGAUAGUCAGGAAGAACACCAACGGCGAAGGCAGCUCGCUGGGACGGUACUGACGGCUGGAGACGCGAAAGCGUGGGGAGCGAACAGG